rnacentral:rRNA from 1 species
AUUGAACGCUGGCGGCAGGCUUAACACAUGCAAGUCGAGCGGGGAAAGGUAGCUUGCUACCUGACCUAGCGGCGGACGGGUGAGUAAUGCUUAGGAAUCUGCCUAUUAGUGGGGGACAACAUUCCGAAAGGAAUGCUAAUACCGCAUACGCCCUACGGGGGAAAGCAGGGGAUCUUCGGACCUUGCGCUAAUAGAUGAGCCUAAGUCAGAUUAGCUAGUUGGUGGGGUAAAGGCCUACCAAGGCGACGAUCUGUAGCGGGUCUGAGAGGAUGAGCCGCCACACUGGGACUGAGACACGGCCCAGACUCCUACGGGAGGCAGCAGUGGGGAAUAUUGGACAAUGGGCGAAAGCCUGAUCCAGCCAUGCCGCGUGUGUGAAGAAGGCCUUUUGGUUGUAAAGCACUUUAAGCGAGGAGGAGGCUACCGAGAUUAAUACUCUUGGAUAGUGGACGUUACUCGCACAAUAAGCACCGGCUAACUCUGUGCCAGCCGCCGCCGUAACAC